AGGCCUAAACGGCUAUCCCUCUCAGCAACUCUCAGCAAGUGUCUCUUUGAGCAAGCUUGGAAUUAUUUACCGUUGCGCUACAGUGUGCUUCGACGGCGGAACUUCAACCUGGCCGGUGAGUUCCAGAGACUGGAAAACACGAAGCAACAACGAAAUCGGUAGCCGUUCAUAAGGCGACAAGGGACCAGAGGCUGCAGUUGCGUCGCUUUAUACUGAUGCUACGUCCAAGUGCUUACGUGUACAGAUAAGGAGAGGACCCCGCACAACCACCAGUCAAUAGUGCAGAAGAUAA